rnacentral:rRNA from 1 species
GACGAACGCUGGCGGCGUGCUUAACACAUGCAAGUCGAACGGAAAGGCCCUGCUUUUGUGGGGUGCUCGAGUGCCGAACGGGUGCGUAACACGUGAGUAACCUGCCCUUGACUUUGGGAUAACUUCAGGAAACUGGGGCUACUACCGGAUAGGAGCUCCUGCUGCAUGGUGGGCGUUGGAAAGUUUCGGCGGUUGGGGAUGGACUCGCGGCUUAUCAGCUUGUUGGUUGGGUAGUGGCUUACCAAGGGUUUGACGGGUAGCCGGCCUGAGAGGGUGAACGGCCACAAGGGGACUGAGAUACGGCCCAGACUCCUACGGGAGGCAGCAGUGGGGAAUAUUGCACAAUGGGCGGAAGCCUGAUGCAGCAACGCCGCGUGCGGGAUGACGGCCUUCGGGUUGUAAACCGCUUUCGCCUGUGACGAAGCGUGAGUGACGGUAAUGGGUAAAGAAGCACCGGCUAACUACGUG